GACGAACGCUGGCGGCGUGCUUAACACAUGCAAGUCGAGCGGUAAGGCCCUUUCGGGGGUACACGAGCGGCGAACGGGUGAGUAACACGUGGGUGACCUGCCCUCAGCUCUGGGAUAAGCCUGGGAAACCGGGUCUAAUACUGGAUAUGACUCCAUGACGCAUGUUGUGGGGUGGAAAGCCUUGUGCGGCUGAGGAUGGGCCCGCGGCCUAUCAGCUUGUUGGUGGGGUGANGGCCUACCAAGGCGACGACGGGUAGCCGGCCUGAGAGGGCGACCGGCCACACUGGGACUGAGACACGGCCCAGACUCCUACGGGAGGCAGCAGUGGGGAAUAUUGGACAAUGGGCGCAAGCCUGAUCCAGCGAUGCCGCGUGUGUGAAGAAGGCCUGCGGGUUGUAAAGCACUUUCAGUAGGGAAGAAAGCCGAGUGCUAAUAUCACUCGUCUUGACGUUACUUACAGAAGAAGCACCGGCUAACUCCGU
rnacentral:rRNA from 1 species